rnacentral:rRNA from 1 species
AGCGUACACGGUGGAUGCCCUGGCAGUCAGAGGCGAUGAAGGACGUGCUAAUCUGCGAAAAGCGUCGGUAAGGUGAUAUGAACCGUUAUAGCCGGCGAUGUCCGAAUGGGGAAACCCAGUGCAAUUCGUUGCACUAUCGUUUGAUGAAUACAUAGUCAAACGAGGCGAACCGGGGGAACUGAAACAUCUAAGUACCCCGAGGAAAAGAAAUCAACCGAGAUUCCCCCAGUAGCGGCGAGCGAACGGGGAGCAGCCCGGAGUCUGAAUCAGCUUGUGUGUUAGUGGAAGCGUCUGGAAAGUCGCAGGGUACAGGGUGAUACUCCCGUACACUAAAACGCACAGGUUGUGAACUCGAAGAGUAGGGCGGGACACGUGGUAUCCUGUCUGAAUAUGGGGGGACCAUCCUCCAAGGCUAAAUACUCCUGACUGACCGAUAGUGAACCAGUACCGUGAGGGAAAGGCGAAAAGAACCCCGGCGAGGGGAGUGAAAAAGAACCUGAAACCGUGUACGUACAAGCAGUAGGAGCCCACUAGUUGGGUGACUGCGUACCUUUUGUAUAAUGGGUCAGCGACUUAUAUUCUGUAGCAAGGUUAACCGUAUAGGGGAGCCGCAGGGAAACCGAGUCUUAACUGGGCGUUAAGUUGCAGGGUAUAGACCCGAAACCCGGUGAUCUAGCCAUGGGCAGGUUGAAGGUUGGGUAACACUAACUGGAGGACCGAACCGACUAAUGUUGAAAAAUUAGCGGAUGACUUGUGGCUGGGGGUGAAAGGCCAAUCAAACCGGGAGAUAGCUGGUUCUCCCCGAAAGCUAUUUAGGUAGCGCCUCGUGAACUCAUCUUCGGGGGUAGAGCACUGUUUCGGCUAGGGGGUCAUCCCGACUUACCAACCCGAUGCAAACUACGAAUACCGAAGAAUGUUAUCACGGGAGACACACGGCGGGUGCUAACGUCCGUCGUGAAGAGGGAAACAACCCAGACCGCCAGCUAAGGUCCCAAAGUCAUGGUUAAGUGGGAAACGAUGUGGGAAGGCCCAGACAGCCAGGAUGUUGGCUUAGAAGCAGCCAUCAUUUAAAGAAAGCGUAAUAGCUCACUGGUCGAGUCGGCCUGCGCGGAAGAUGUAACGGGGCUAAACCAUGCACCGAAGCUGCGGCAGCGACGCUUAUGCGUUGUUGGGUAGGGGAGCGUUCUGUAAGCCGUUGAAGGUGGCCUGUGAGGGUUGCUGGAGGUAUCAGAAGUGCGAAUGCUGACAUAAGUAACGAUAAUGCGGGUGAAAAACCCGCACGCCGGAAGACCAAGGGUUCCUGUCCAACGUUAAUCGGGGCAGGGUGAGUCGACCCCUAAGGCGAGGCCGAAAGGCGUAGUCGAUGGGAAACAGGUUAAUAUUCCUGUACUCGGUGUUACUGCGAAGGGGGGACGGAGAAGGCUAUGUUGGCCGGGCGACGGUUGUCCCGGUUUAAGCAUGUAGGCGGAUGUUCCAGGUAAAUCCGGAACGUUACUAACGCUGAGGUGUGAUGACGAGGCACUACGGUGCUGAAGUGACAAAUGCCCUGCUUCCAGGAAAAGCCUCUAAGCAUCAGGUAACAUCAAAUCGUACCCCAAACCGACACAGGUGGUCAGGUAGAGAAUACCAAGGCGCUUGAGAGAACUCGGGUGAAGGAACUAGGCAAAAUGGUGCCGUAACUUCGGGAGAAGGCACGCUGAUGGUAGGUGAAGUGACUUGCUCAUGGAGCUGAAAUCAGUCGAAGAUACCAGCUGGCUGCAACUGUUUAUUAAAAACACAGCACUGUGCAAACACGAAAGUGGACGUAUACGGUGUGACGCCUGCCCGGUGCCGGAAGGUUAAUUGAUGGGGUUAUCCGUAAGGAGAAGCUCUUGAUCGAAGCCCCGGUAAACGGCGGCCGUAACUAUAACGGUCCUAAGGUAGCGAAAUUCCUUGUCGGGUAAGUUCCGACCUGCACGAAUGGCGUAAUGAUGGCCAGGCUGUCUCCACCCGAGACUCAGUGAAAUUGAACUCGCUGUGAAGAUGCAGUGUACCCGCGGCAAGACGGAAAGACCCCGUGAACCUUUACUAUAGCUUGACACUGAACACUGGUCCUUGAUGUGUAGGAUAGGUGGGAGGCUUUGAAGUGUGGACGCCAGUCUGCAUGGAGCCAUCCUUGAAAUACCACCCUUUAAUGGCUGGUGUUCUAACGUGGGCCCCUAAUCGGGGUUGCGGACAGUGUCUGGUGGGUAGUUUGACUGGGGCGGUCUCCUCCUAAAGAGUAACGGAGGAGCACGAAGGUCAGCUAAUCCUGGUCGGACAUCAGGAGGUUAGUGCAAUGGCAUAAGCUGGCUUGACUGCGAGCGUGACGGCGCGAGCAGGUGCGAAAGCAGGUCAUAGUGAUCCGGUGGUUCUGAAUGGAAGGGCCAUCGCUCAACGGAUAAAAGGUACUCCGGGGAUAACAGGCUGAUACCGCCCAAGAGUUCAUAUCGACGGCGGUGUUUGGCACCUCGAUGUCGGCUCAUCACAUCCUGGGGCUGAAGUAGGUCCCAAGGGUAUGGCUGUUCGCCAUUUAAAGUGGUACGCGAGCUGGGUUUAGAACGUCGUGAGACAGUUCGGUCCCUAUCUGCCGUGGGCGCUGGAGAAUUGAGGGGGGCUGCUCCUAGUACGAGAGGACCGGAGUGGACGCAUCACUGGUGUUCGGGUUGUCAUGCCAAUGGCAUUGCCCGGUAGCUAAAUGCGGAAGAGAUAAGUGCUGAAAGCAUCUAAGCACGAAACUUGCCCCGAGAUGAGUUCUCCCUGACUCCUUGA